rnacentral:tRNA from 1 species
GCGGCAGUAAUUCAGUGGUAGAGUCCCACUUCGCAUGCGGGGAGACCUGGGUUCGAUUCCCGGCUGCUUCC